GGUGGUAGGGAACCAAGCUUUAAUCAUGAAUAAUGCUUUGUCCUUAAUCAUUCUUCCAUUGCAAGACAAAGCUCAUCACUUCACUCCCUCACACUUCAACUCUCAGUCACCUCCAAAAAUCCCUCUCUUCCAAUUUUGCUCCAAAAGAUCGCCAUAGAUUAAUCACCAAAGCUUCCAAGUUCACUUCAAGAUCAAAUCCUCCACCAAAUCAACAUAAACACCUUUCAAUUCUUGAAGAUUUCAAGAGGACCGUGGGGUUUGGUUUGAAGAGUGAGAAAGGAAAACUUUGAUCUUUGUUUAAUCUUGGGGUCCGGGCGACAGGAAAUGAAGCCGAAGAAGAAGCGACUCCACGCUAGCUUAAGAACGUUUGAGGUUGAGCAAGCGAUGGAAUGGAUCGGUGUUGAGCGGAUUUCUCUUUUGAUGUUUAUGUAAUGAAACCUUGAGUAUGCAUCUCCAUAUGCAUAACUCACACGUUUUUCCGCUGCAAACACUCUGACUUAUUUAUCAUUUCUACUUGAACUUAUUACUACUUCAUUUUAAUUAACUUUCAUUUGGGGUCUAGUCGUUAUGGCAGGCUCGUUUGUUAA